CGGAAGGGCGACGGGGCGGGGCUUCCUGGUCCUGGAGGCCGCGAUCGGUCCCUCCCAGGGCAAGCGGCGGUCGGUAGGCAGCGCUGUGCUGCGGAGCUUACGGAGCUUGCAGAGCUGGGCUGCGCGAGGUUGGCGGUCGCCUCCGCUGGAUUGAACCUGUGCCCGGCUCCUGAGGGCGUGGACACAGCGCUUCUCCCUGCGGUGUAAUGGAAACCACUGGGAUUCUAGAAUUAGAAUCCCAACCCGCUCUUGGUCAUAUACACUGAUUCUGAGCCUUAUUUGCUUUUUUACCUGAAGCGGGAAACAUGAUAUGGAACUGUGAGGCAACAGGAAAGGCAACCCCAAUACUCAGAGGAAAAUCUGCUGCGGACAGCGACCAGUCUGUUUCCUGAGGAAGUGAGGCACAGUACGCGGGACAGUAAGGAACAAGAAGAGGUCGUUGCCUUGCGAUAGAGUGCGACUGAAGCUGCAGAUUUGGUGGUAAAGAGGAGGCCUCAUCUAGCCUCUUGGGGAACAUGACUUCCGGUCACUGAGGCCAGCUUUCUGCCAAGCUCUCUGCAGAAGUGAAGUAUGGAGCCACUCAUGUUCCCCAAUCCCAGCUGUCAGCGACCUGCCCUGCUGUCACUUGGCUGGAGCCUGAUCCUCUCAAGGUUCUUAAUCAUUCUGCUUAAUGGCAACCUUGCAGGUCACACCCAGCCCACCCGACCUGCUUCCUCAGCCUUGGGCCUUAGUCCCAGAGAACAAGUCCCUGCCCCUGCCCGUGCCUCAGGGGUGCGAGAGGUGUAAGUGACUCGUAUCUCCCUUGAAGGAUUUUGAGACUCAGCUCACCAGUUCCCAAAAGGACCUCACAUACACAUCCAGGACAUCUUUCCUGAGUCUGCUAUGUGCCAGGGACAACAGCCAGUGCCAGGGCCAUAGAAAAACAGAGUGCUCUGUGUCAGACCAGUAAAAACUUUGUGUGUGUGCGUGUGUGUGUGUGUGUGUGUGUGUGUGCACGCAUGUGCACUGAAGAUGGAGUCCAGGGCUGAGUGUGCUAUACCAUUGAGCUAUCCUCAAACUCGGCGACCUACUUUAGAAAGCGAAGCAUGAUGGCCCAGCUGUUCAGGGGCUGAAGCACCAUGAAUCUGAAGCCACCCAUUUGGGGCUAGCCUGGGCAAGUUAGUGACACUGUUUUACAAUAAAAAUGGCACUCCAGAGGCUGAGGUAGAAGGUUCAGCAAGAGUCCAAGGCCAGCCUGGGCUACAAAGUGAAUUCAAGGCCAACCUGAACUGUAUAGUGAAACUGUUUUAAGAAAAAACAAAAAACUAAACUAAAUAGAAUAAAAUAGGGCAGAGCUAGCCCACUUGCUUGGCAUGAGGCCCCUGUGUUCAAUCCCCAGUACUAUAAAACCAAAUAAACAGUCUUUAUGAAGAGGCAGCAUUUAGGCUGAAAUUCUUACCCAAUCCCAAUUGCAAAUGAUGAUAGUCUGCUCUCGAGGGUUGGGUGGAGUGACACAUGCCUGUAAUCCAGCACUCAAGAGGUUGAGGCAGGAGGAUCACCUCAAAUUCAAGGCUAGCCUGGGCUGUAUAGUGAAUUCAAGGCUAGCCUAGACUACAAAGCAAGAUCCUGUCUCAAAAGAACAAACAACAAUAAUGCUAAGGCUGGGCAUGGUGGAAGGUGCCUGUAAUUUGGAGGCCAAUGCAGCAGGAUUGCUGUUAGUUUGAGGCCAGUCUGGGAUACAUAGUUAGUGAGACCUUGUCUCAAAAACCCAAAAUCAAAAAAUCAUCGUGGUCCUUCUCUCCCUACCUGGGUCCUCACAGGAUGACUUCCUCCUCUGCAAAAUGGGGAUAGCCACCACCAGAGGGCAGUGGUUAGGCCUAGCUGGGCUGGUCCGUUCCCAGAUCUGAGGCUCCUCCUCAUCCUUAGCUUCCAGUUCACCUGUGUCCUCAGGUGGAAGGCCCAGACCUUAACCCCCAGCCUGCUUGCUGUCUUGUCAUCUGACACAGUCCUAGGCCACUAGAACACGCCGUGGCAACCUGGCCUCAGCUAUGUGAUGCCAACUUGAUGCUAACCACACUGAUCCAGAUGUGUUCAAAGAUCUGUUUGGAAAUGGGUGCAGUGGUGCAUGCUUGUAAUCCUAGCUGUUAAAGAGCCUGAGGCAGGAGGGUUGCAAGUUUCGGACCAACUUGGGCAACUGAGAAAACAAACUAUAAAAGAAGUAGAUAUGUACCAGCUCAGUGAAUUCAUGAGUCCCAUGUCAAACUGUAUUAACUUUUCUGUUACUGAUACAAAAUACCCACCACACUCAUUGUAAAGAAGGAGAGAUUUAUUUUGGAUUAGUGUAGUCCAUAGUUGCAUGGCUCCAGGGCCACAGUAAAAGUGCAUGGAGAGGAGAGCUGCUCAUCCCAAGCAGCUGGGAAGCAGAGAGAGAGGAGAAAAGCAGGGACUGGAACACACUCCUCCAGAGCUGGGGAGGUGGCACACACCCGUGAGCCUGGCCCUGGGGAGGUGUAGGUGGGAGGAGGAGUUGGAGGCCAGCCUGGGCUACACAGCAAGACCCUGUCUCAAAAACUCAAAAGAACGCACUGUUCCAGGUCACACCUCAGUGACUCAUUUCUUGCAGCCAGGCCUCAAUUCCAUAGUGUCGUCAGUGAGCUAAUCCACCAAUGAGUACAGUAUCUCCGUGACCCAGUCACCUUCCAAAACUUGGGGACAUUUUGAUCUAAACCAUCCAAUCAUGAAAAACAGGAUAAAAGGACAUCCUGGUCAGUAAGCUCAUAAGAAGAUGAUCAGUGUCAUUAGCCCUCGGGAAAUGCAAAGCAAAACCACAAUAAGAUGCCACUUUACACUUGCUAGGAUGUCUCAAACCAGAAAGGCAGUUACCCGGAUAUGGGUGCUGGGGAUAGACGUAGGUGUCAGCCAGGUUUAGUCUCCCAAGACUGGUAAUGAAGACCAGCACCUAAUUGUCUUAUUUUUGCCCACAGAUACCCACUUCCCUCCAGCGCAUCCUACCCCAUCCCCUGGAAACCAGAGCUACAACUCUCUCACUUUAAGAACAGUGUGUAAGGCCAAAGCUGGUGGUGUGUACCUGUAAUCCCAGCACUUGGGAGGCUGGGAUUUGUAGCCCCCUUGGGCUACAAAGUGAGCUCAAGGCCAGGCUUAACUACAUAGUGAAACCCUGUCUUAAACAAAAACAAACUGUAUAAAUGGAACCUCAUAGCUUUUAAUCUUUUACCAGAAGCUUUGGUCCCUCAGCAUAAUUUUCUAGGGAUUUAUCCAGAUAGCUGGUAUAUCGUCCUGUGUUCCUUUUUACUGAUGAGUUGCAUUCCAUGCACUGGGUGAAGCACUGUUUAUUUACCCUUUUACCUUUCUGAAGAACAUCUGGUUAUUUUCUUUUUGGAACUAUGAAUAUGACUAAACAUUUUUGCACAUAUUAGUGUGUGUAAACAUGAGUUUUCACUUUCUUUAAUAAUGCCCAACAGUGCAGUAUCUGAGUCAUAGGUGCUUGUAUGUUCAGUUGUAGAAACAACGUUUUCCAGAAUGUCAGUACCUUGUUUCCCCGUGUCCUUGCAUUUUCUCUUGCAGUUGGCGUAACUAUUUUUUACUUUUCCCAGUUUGAUACAGUGGAGUGGCAGCUCACUGUGGUGGUUAUUUGUGUUUAUUAAAGGGCCAUCUUUUCGUGGGCUUAUGUGCCCUUUGCAUAGCCUCUUUGGUGAAAAUGUUUUGUAUUUUUUUGCCUGUUUCCUAAUUCUAUUAGUUGGUGGUGCCUGAGUUUUCAGAGUCCCUCCUAUUUCUUGACAUUAGUUCUUCUGUUAGCUAUGUGGUUUACAAAGUUUCUCCUGGCCAGGAGCUGCGGCUUGCCCUUUUGAUCUCUGUUACAAGGUCUGUUGCCAAGAAAAGGCUUUCGGUUUUGAUGACAUCCGAAUCACUUUCCUCAUCAUGGUGGCUCAGUACCCUACAACUUAAAGGAGAAGAGGUUUAUUUUGGCUCACAGUUGUGGAAGCUUUAGUUCACAGUCAGCAGGCUCCAAGCACAAUAGAAGAGCUUGGAGGGGCUCUUUGGGCCAUCAGGAAGCCGGGAGAGAGGGGAGCUGGGGGCGGGGAUAAACCCUUCCAGGCCAGGCCCACAGCCCAGGCUUUUCCGGCUGGACGCUACCACCCCUCCAGCACAGCAGCUUGACCACACCUUAAUGGAUUAAUCCACUGAUGACUAUGGAACCCCACAAUCCACUCCCAACGCAAGAAGCUCUGGGGGGACAUUUUAGAUCUAAAUCAGAAUAAAUGAAGUCUAGUUUUCAUUUCUUGCUUGGAUGGAUCACGAUUUUUGGACUAAGUUUAAGUGCACUUUGCCUAACCCUAGACAUAAAGUUUCUCUCUUAAGAAACGUUUUCGGGGAGUUUUAUGUUUACACUUCAGCCUGUGAUCCAUUUGGAGUCUCAUCUAUCUAUCUAUCUCUUCUGUGGUACUGACAGUUGAAACGGGGUUUCGCACUGAGCUAUCUCCUCAUUCCAGUUCAUUUUUUGAGACAGAGUCUUGCUAAAUUUGCAAGACCGGGGUCAAAUUUGAAUUCUCUUGCCUCAGCCUUCCAGAGUGCUGGGAAUUACAGACGUGCACCACCACUCCUAAUUUUGAAUUAAUUUUUGUAUAAGAUGUGAGACCCUCAAUGAUGCAUAAAUAAAGGGAAUUUUCCAGCCAACCUCAUUCAGAAAUGCAGAGUUCACUUUAUUUAUUUAUUUAUUUAUUUAUUUAUUUAUGGUAUUGAGGAUUGAAUCCAGAGUCUUGACACUGUAAAUUCUCAACCGUCUUAUUUUUUUUUUUUUAAUUUUUAUUUUGAGACAGUCUUGCUAAGUCACCGAGUUUCCCAGGCUGUGCUCCAGUUGGUCAUCCUCCUGCCUCAGCCUCCCAGAGUGGUGGGAUUACAGGUGUGUUUGACCACUGGAAGCUCAGAGUUCACUUGUUAGUUGCAUGCCUCCUCCUUAAAAGAAAAUGUGGGAUGGGAUCAAGAAUCCAAAUCUAUGAACAGUGCCUCCGCUCACUGUUCAGACCCGGUGAGUUAGGAUUUGCUUCUCUUCUCUUCUCCUCAGCUCUUCUCCUCUUGGGCUCUGCAGAGCGCUUUCCACUCAUUUUCAGUUCCAUUCAUUUGUUCUUUACUUUUCUUUAAGGCAAGUCUAAAUCUUCUGUCUCUUAAUUUCCAAGCACUAAUCUUAGUGUUGCUGCAGGCUUCUGGGAAAGUCCUCUGUGUGCAUCUGUGUAUCUGACCUCAUCUUCCAUGACACUGAGUAUUCAAGGAAAGAAGGCUCCCCCAGCCCUGGUCUCGCCGCAGCCUGCCCCACACCGCUCUUCACAGGGAAACCUCUGCGGGAGAUUCACUGUCUCCACUGUCUCCCUCCUCACCCUCCUGGUGCUCCUAACCCGGCCUCUGAACAGUCAGCAGUGCUGCACCCUGGGCGUUAUCUAUAUGCUGCCUUGCACACAGGGGACCCCCGGCCUUCUGGGGACACUGUCUGUGGUGUCAUCUGAACCGUGGGUAGCAUCGCUCUCCUGCUGUCUUCAGACUGCUCUGGCUGCCCCUUAUCUGCAGAUUUCUCUUCUCCUGUCCUCCUUUCCACACCAGGUGCCACCGGGUUCUGUUGGGUGCUCUUUUUUUUCUUUCCUUUUUUUUUUGUACCUGGAAUUGAACUCAGGACCUAGCACUUGCCAGGCAGGUGCCAUGCUCCUGAGCUGUAUCUCUGGCCUUUGAGUGCUUUUUCGUCUUACAUAUUCCCCAUAGCCUCCCUGGGUGACUGUCACACCUGUAAAUUCAGGGGCAAACCUGUACUGAUGGAGCCCAAAUCGAUUCCUGAACUUUGCAAUACAAUACAAUCCACUUCCCCUUUCUCCACUUUCUCUUUUCUUUUUUUCAGGAGUAAAACUGAACUUAAGGUCUUCACAUUAAGCUAUAGCCCUUAAAAAAAAACAUUUUUUUAAAAUGUUGAGACAGGGGCUGGGGAUUUAGCUCAGCGGCAUAAGCACCUGCCUUGCAAGCAGGUGGUCGUGAGUUCAAUCCCCGGUACCGUUAAAAAGAAAAAAAAAAUAAGUGUAAAAUGUUGAGACAGGAUCUCACUAAGUUGCCUAGGCAGACCCCGUCUCAGCCUUGCAGGCUGCAGAGACUACAGGUGAGAGCCACCAUGUCUGGCUCAAUAUACAAUUAAAAAAAUUUUUUUUAAUCAUAUCACUUCCUUGUUUAAAGCCCUUCAAAAUUCCUGCACACUCCUAGAAUAAAAUCCAGUCUGUUUCCCGUUUCCCACUGUUCCAGACUCAUCCUUUUAUGCAGCUUGUGCUCCACCCUGCCGAGGAUCUCUCAGUCCUUGGCCUGUGGCCCUUGGCGCAUGCAGUUUCUUCAGCCUGGAACUCUCUUCCUUCCAACCAGGGUUGCCUGGUUCCCUCCUACUCUGUGCUCAGGUCACAGAGAUUGGCAUCUUUUCCUCUGGAGCCCUAUCCCUACCCUGCUGCCUCUCAAUUCUCACCACCUUAUGCCACUGUUGUGGUUUAAGUGUCCCCCCACAAGCCUCAUUCACUCAUGGAGGCCACUAAGUCUAGUGUUUGUGGUUGGUUUGUUGUCUAGUGCUGGGAUUGGCAGUGUGAGUGCUGCACCCACCCAGAGGUGGGCAACUGGCAUACAAUAUGGGGAGGGACAGAGGCCUGUUCCUCCUUGUUUUUGCUCUUAUGCUGUUGUCACUUGCAGUCGCCGUGAACAUGAACGGCUGCCCCUCAGCCACACCACCCUACCUAGGAGCCAGCAGAGUAUGGACUGAAACCUCCACAAACUGGUGAUGGUGCCGGAUCCAGGAAUGUUCAGCAUCCUCCGGGAAGAGGUGACCAUGACCACCAGGGAUCCAAAUCUAUCACUAGAAGCCAAUUGUGGAACUCUGCCCUAGACCAACCAAUAAAAAUUAAUGGGCUUCAGCCUGUUCCAGAAAAUCUAGGGCACAGCUGCUAUCACCACCAGCUCCAACUCUUGGCGGCUCCUCUGGCGAGAAAUCAGGAGGAACAACAUGAGAAGCAAUGGCUAGCAUCCCUGCUGCUGGCUAAAACUCACUGCAUACCAUCCUGGAAUGUGGAUAGCUGGGAGGACUUGCAAGCUUGUGUAGCUUGGGUAUUGUGUCUUCAGUAAAACCUGGAGACUCAGAGAGGGAAUACCAGCCGGUGACCGAAAUGCCUGUUCUGCACCAUUUGAGACCACCCUCACAUCCCUACUCCUCCCCAGCACUGUAGUGGCACCCGUGCUGUGAUGAGCCAAGGGCAGGUCUCUUAAUCAGAAGAGCAGCUCUAAAGAUAACUUCUUCCUCCACAUUCUCCCAUGCUCCAGCGGGCCCAGUGGGCCCUGGGAAGAACUCCACACUCACCGGUCUUGGCUCUCCUGCAGGGCAAUUAUUUGGCUGGUAGAAGUCUGUCAGUAACUCGACUCCCUUUUCAAACUGUCAACACAGCGGUAUCAUAGCCUCAUUAAAAUUGAUGUCAGCACAAUGUGACACAGCUGGGAAAGCAGGUCACAAAACAGGGUACACGGAAUCCCCUUUGCGGCUCUGCCUCAACCUUCCCUGCGACCAGGUAGUGCGAGCUAAACAGGAAUGCCAGACCAGGACAAGGCUGCAUCCUCCUGCAUCUAACAUGACUGUGUGUCAGUUACGGAGAUGAAGGGUACAAGCAUCUCCCACAAAACGGCUUUCAUUUCUUUUUUUUAUCUUUUUGAGACAGGGUCUCGCUAUGCAGUUCAGACUGGCCUUGAGCUCGCUUUGUAGCCCAGGCUGGUCUCAAACUCACAAUGAUCCUCCUGCCUCAGCCUCCCGGGUGCUGGGAUUACAGGCAUGAGCCACCACACCCGGCUCUAAAUGGCUUUCAUUUGUACAGCAGCAAGUAGCAUUGCUUUUUAGGACCUGGGUUCCUGUGGCUGGUGUGAACUAAACUCAGGAGCACAGUGCUGAGAACACACCGUGCGGUUUCUAGGUUAGGUUCUCUGCAGUUUGUUUUUUUAAAUAACUGCAAAGGAUUGAAUACAGGACUUUGUGCAUGCCAAGCAAGCACUCUACCACUGAGUCACCGCCCAGCCUCGGUAGGCUAGGUUCUUUUAGUACUUCACCAGGACACUGUGGGUCAGUUCUUGGUCUUGCCCCUUGCCUGCCCUCCAAUUUCUCCAGUAAGCAAUAGCCUUUGUAUUUUAGAGGACAGAACUGUGGCUUCAAAUGACAUGCUGACAUUGCACAGGCAGGCAUCUGGGGAUCUCAACUCCAGUGGUCUUACAAGUCAGAACUGGUCACCCAGCUCUGGCAGCUCCCACCCAGGGCUCAAAUAUUUGUUGCAAACCUACUCAACGGAGUUUACAUAGAAGUGCAGAAAUAGGACUGCUGAGUAAUAUCAGCAAAAGCUUCUCCAACUCUUAGCCCUAAGGCCUCACACAUGCUAGGGAGACUCUAUUACUGAGUGACACCCCCAGCCCUGCUCCUCUAGUUCUUUCACCACUGAGCCUCACACGUCUCCCAGAGGACAGAUUCAUGCCAAAGGCACCUGGGAAAACUAAUUGUAAAAGAAAAAUGACAAAGAUAAAAUCCUAACUUAAGUAUCUCACCGGCUACAAUAGAUCAAGCACAGUGAAUAUACAUGAAAGGCGUGGCUAACAAGGCUGUUGGACAGUGGUUGCAUGUUACCAUUUUUGAAGUAAAAGAUGUUUAUGUAGUUUUUGCUAGACUAACACCUCAGUAUUCAUGUUUAAUCAGUGUUGGCCCUUUGUGAUAAGAAGUGGGCUUUGGGUUAGUUUGACACUUGGUCUCUAAAAGGUUUGCUAUCACUGCUCUAUUCAAAAGGUCUGAAUUUCUUCAGUCUCUUCUCUAUUGUUUGAUCUUCACUAAUUUUUUUUUUUUAAAGACAGGGUCUCACCAUGCAGCAGUGGCUGGUCUGGAACUCACCUCAGCCCUGAAGGCAUGUUACCUAUUUCUGUCUGCAUGUUCCCAUCCAUUUCCCAUCUUUGAUUCAUUUGCAUGACUGUCCCUCCUUGUCUCCAUUUCUAUUUCUGAACCUUAUUUGCCCACACAGCUCACAUAUUUUUCUCUCUAGGAAACUUUCCCUAGAAAGCCAGAAACCUGCCCCACACUCACAUGGGCAUCUUGUUGCUAUGUCUAGUAAGGAUCACUCCCGUGCUACUGUCUCUUCCUUCCUAGAUACUGUAAGCUCCAGAGGCGGCUGGUUGCUCAGCCAGUGCUGCUUCCUCUCCUGCAGCCAAUAAGCAUGCAAUAUGUUAGGUGUCUGACAGAUACUAGGUUUUAUAACCAUAUAGAAGCAAGAAAAACAAUACUUGCUAAGUGGCAGAGGCACUGUGGUUGGGGAAAAGCCAUGAGUUAAACCAGAAAUCAAAUUCCGUUUUUUUUUUUAUUAUCUCACUGUGCAGUAUGCAGGCUAGCUUUGAACUCAGCAAUCCUCCUACCUCAGCCUUCCAAUGCUGGGGUUUCAGGCACGUGACAGCACACCCAGCUCAAACUGUUUUUCUUUACGAAGAAUGAGUACGUAUAAAGUAUACAGAUGACUUAAUUUUACGCAAGUUUGGGGCUCAAUUCAGACUAUUUAAAUUUUUCUAUACAGUUAAGAUUCCAAACCUUUCACAUUGCUUUUACAUGCAUUCCAGUAACUACAGCUAGGAGUAAAAUAACCCGUAAAUCUUCACUACAAAACAAACACUUGUGCACAAUACUGUCAUAUAGCUGUUUUCACUGAACAGCUAAACCACUGAGUACAGACUAGAAAUAUAUUCCCUUCCCCCAGCCCCCUUAAAAUGCUUAAGAAUAGAGAAAAUGUCCACUUCUGUUAAGCUGGUUUUAGGCAGUGCCUGUGGGUGAGGCUUUCCACACACUGCUGUCUCUUCCAUGCCUAUCUUGGUAACAAACCUUAUUCUCUGUUUUCUUGUCAGUCAAACCAUGCAUAUUUCAGUCUUAGUGUGAAACUAUCUUUUCCUCUAGACCUCUGUGUCAGCAAGGGUCACAGAUCAUCAAUGCUGCAAGGCUUCAGAAGCCAUUUGGUCACACCCCUUCAAUUGUAGCCUGGGAAGGGACCCGGAGGUCAAUACAAGGUCAUAUAGAAAAAGCAGCAGAGCCAGAAUUAGAAUUCAGUUCCUUUUUUGGGAUUCUGGCCUUUGUGUGCAUUUUAGACACAGCUUCAUGUGUAGUUUAGGACAGCCUUGAUCUUAUUAUAUACCCCCAAAGUGGACUCAAAUUCAUGACCCUCUUGGCCUCAACUUACCAAGUGCUGGGAUUAUGGGCAUGUGUCAUACCCAGCUUGGUUAAGACCUUUUGACAAUUCUUUUUCCUAAUUCAUGUAAUACUCAAAUUUAACAUUACUUUACAGGUUUUCAUUGAGCUCAGAGCAUGCAAUUGCAAACAUUAUUAAAAGUUGCUUAGAGACUAAAUCUAGGGCCUCACACUUGCUAGAUAGGCAACUGCUCUGCCAGAACUCUAGCCCCAGCCCCCAAGCCUUCUAAAAGCCUGAAUUUCUCCUGUAUCAUCAUUAAGAAUGAGUAGAUACUCAAAAGGCCCUACACACCUGUAUAUUCAUUUUCUCAUUAACACCCACUAACAAUGCAAAAAAAAAAAAAAAAAAAAAAUGAAGUCCACCCUGUUUAGUAUUUUAACAUUAGCUUACUUUACAAUCACAGCUCAAUUUUAAAAAUGUAAGCAUACAACUAGGAUUUACCAAAGAGUGAUGUAUUUAUUUCACUUAAAGUCUUAAAAAUACUUUUUGGCAAUUGUCACAUAUAAUGUCCUAUUGUUAAGAAAAAAAUUCAUUAAAAAGAAAAGCAUGAAAAAACAGACCCAAAAUGUUAAGAUUUUAUUUACAAAGCUUUUUGUUGUACAGAAAGUAAAAAUGCUGUUACAAUCUCAGUGUAACUGGUAGCAAUAGAUGGUUGACUCACCAAUCACAGCUAUCCAUGCUACAGCAAGUCUUACACAAAAACCUAACAACGCUUACAAUUUUGUUGGGGCAAAGUACCCAAGCUUGGUAGUAGAUUACCAAGAGGGACUAAAUAGAGGAAGAAGGUGGAAUGUCACAGGAACUAUUCUUUGGCUCUUUGGGUGGGUGGGUGUCCUGGGGUUUGUAUCACAGCUACCUUUUUUUUUUUAAA